GACGAACGCUGGCGGCGUGCUUAACACAUGCAAGUCGAACGGUGAAGCGCUUGCCUUUUUGGUGGGUGUGGAUGAGUGGCGAACGGGUGAGUAACACGUGAGUAACCUGCCCUCUUCUUCUGGAUAACCUCAUGAAGGUGGGGCUAAUACGGGGUAUUCCGGGUCUGUCGCAUGGCGGGUUUGGGAAAGAUUGCGCCUUUGGGUGUUUUCGGUGGGGGAUGGGCUCGCGGCCUAUCAGCUUGUUGGUGGGGUGAUGGCCUACCAAGGCGGUGACGGGUAGCCGGCCUGAGAGGGUGGACGGCCACACUGGGACUGGGCCACGGCCCAGACUCCUGCGGGAGGCAGCAGUGGGGAAUAUUGCACAAUGGGCGCAAGCCUGAUGCAGCGACGCCGCGUGAGGGAUGGAGGCCUUCGGGUUGUGAACCUCUUUCGCCAGUGAAGCAGGCCUGCUCCUGUGUGGGUGGGUUGACGGUAGCUGGAUAAGAAGCGCCGGCUAACUACGUG
rnacentral:rRNA from 1 species